AUUGAACGCUGGCGGCAGGCUUAACACAUGCAAGUCGAGCGAGCGGCGGACGGGUGAGUAAUGUAUGGGAAACUGCCUGAUGGAGGGGGAUAACUACUGGAAACGGUAGCUAAUACCGCAUACCAUCAGAUGUGCCCAUAUGGGAUUAGCUAGUAGUUAGGGUAAUGGCUCACCUAGGCGACGAUCCCUAGCUGGUCUGAGAGGAUGACCAGCCACACUGGAACUGAGACACGGCCCAGACUCCUACGGGAGGCAGCAGUGGGGAAUAUUGCACAAUGGGCGCAAGCCUGAUGCAGCCAGGCCGCGUGUAUGAAGAAGGCCUUCGGGUUGUAAAGCACUUUCAGCCAGGAGGCGUUACCCACAGAAGAAGCACCGGCUAACUCCGUGCCAGCAGCCGCGGUAAUAC
rnacentral:rRNA from 1 species